rnacentral:rRNA from 1 species
CCUACGGGAGGCAGCAGUGAGGAAUUUUCCGCAAUGGGCGAAAGCCUGACGGAGCAAUACCGCGUGAGGGAUGAAGGAUUUUGGUCUGUAAACCUCUUUUCUCAAGAAAGAAGUUCUGACGGUACUUGAGGAAUAAGCAUCGGCUAACUCCGUGCCAGCAGCCGCGGUAAUACGGGGGAUGCAAGCGUUAUCCGGAAUGAUUGGGCGUAAAGCGCCUGUAGGUUGUUUAUUAAGUCCGUUGUUAAAGCCUAGGGCUCAACCCUAGAAAAGCAAUGGAAACUAGUAGACUAGAGUAUGGCAGGGGUAGAGGGAAUUUCUAGUGUAGCGGUGAAAUGCGUAGAUAUUAGAAAGAACACCGGUGGCGAAAGCGCUCUACUGGACCAUUACUGACACUCAGAGGCGAAAGCUAGGGUAGCAAAAGGGAUUAGAUACCCCUGUAGUCCUAGCCGUAAACGAUGGAUACUAGAUGUUGUGCAUUAUGUACAGUAUCGUAGCUAACGCGUUAAGUAUCCCGCCUGGGGAGUACGCUCGCAAGGGUGAAACUUAAGGAAUUGACGG